GACGAACGCUGGCGGCGCGCUUAACACAUGCAAGUCGAGCGAGAACCAGGGCUUCGGCCCUGGGGACAGCGGCGAACGGGUGAGUAACACGUGGGUAAUCUGCCCUCGGUUCUGGGAUAGCCCGGGGAAACCCGGAUUAAUACCGGAUAGCCUCUAGAGCCCUCGGGCUCGUGAGAAAAGGUAGCUUCGGCCUCCGACCGAGGAGGAGCCUGCGGCGGAUUAGCUUGUUGGCGGGGUAACGGCCCACCAAGGCGACGAUCCGUAGCUGGUCUGAUAGGACGAGCAGCCACACUGGGACUGAGACACGGCCCAGACUCCUACGGGAGGCAGCAGUGGGGAAUCUUGCGCAAUGGGCGAAAGCCUGACGCAGCGACGCCGCGUGAGGGAAGAAGGCCUUCGGGUUGUAAACCUCUUUCAGGAGGGACGAGGCCACUCGGGUUAAUAGCCCAGAGGGUGACGGUACCUCCAGAAGAAGCCCCGGCUAACUACGUGCCAGCCGCCGCUGUAAGAC
rnacentral:rRNA from 1 species